rnacentral:tRNA from 1 species
AGUAGCUCAGUCGGUUAGAGCAAUUGACUGUUAAUCAAUGGGUCACAGGUUCAAGUCCUGUCU